GUAAGAUGAAACAGAACCAAAAUCAAGAAAGGUCUUCUCAGUAAGCAAAUUACACUGAAGAAGAAGAGGAUGAGCCUAAAGGAAGCUUGUUCAUGGUAACACAAAGCAUUUAGCCUGCUGGGAAACACAUAUGGUAUAUUGAUAGUGGUUGUAUAAGCCAUAUGUCAAAGAAUGAAAGCAAUUUCAGUAAGCUAGACAAAUCUAUUAGAACCAAGGUUAAACUUGGAA
rnacentral:misc_RNA from 1 species